rnacentral:rRNA from 1 species
GGGGUGCUCGAGUGGCGAACGGGUGAGUAACACGUGAGUAACCUGCCCUUGACUUUGGGAUAACUUCAGGAAACUGGGGCUAAUACCGGAUAGGAGCUCCUGCUACAUGGUGGGGGUUGGAAAGUUUCGGCGGUUGGGGAUGGACUCGCGGCUCAUCAGCUUGUUGGUGGGGUAGUGGCUUACCAAGGCUUUGACGGGUAGCCGGCCUGAGAGGGUGACCGGCCACAUUGGGACUGAGAUACGGCCCAG